GUUACUUUAACUCAGCUUGUUAAAAACUCCAGGCACUAUCUCAACUGUCCCAGAACCUGUGUUCUACAAAUAUGUAUAUGAUAUGUUCCAGUGGGACGUCUGAACUAGGAGAGAACAAACAGGUUAUAAGAAGGAGACGAGCCUACCUAGAGAUAUGUGUGUGUGCCCAUGAGGCUAGCGUAACAGACGCAGCAAAUGCUUAAUACACUUCAGACCAUCCAUACCAGAGAGGCACCGAUACCCAAGGAGUGGCAGAAUGAACAAAAAUAUAGAACAAAAAUAUAGAGAGCCAUAAGACACGGUGGUGGG